ensembl:snRNA U6 U6 spliceosomal RNA
UUGCUUCCUUCAGCAGCACACAUACUAAAAUGGAAUGCUACAGAGAUUAGCAUGGCCUUUGGGCAAGGAUGACAUACAAAUUCAUCAAGCAUUACAUAUUUGG